UACGGAGGGUGCAAGCGUUAAUCGGAAUUACUGGGCGUAAAGCGCGCGUAGGCGGUUACUUAAGUCGGAUGUGAAAGCCCCGGGCUUAACCUGGGAAUUGCAUUUGAUACUGGGAGACUAGAGUGUGGUAGAGGGGAGUGGAAUUUCUGGUGUAGCGGUGAAAUGCGUAGAGAUCAGGAGGAAUAUCGAUGGCGAAGGCAGCCCCCUGGACGAAGACUGACGCUGAGGUGCGAAAGCGUGGGGAGCAAACAGG
rnacentral:rRNA from 1 species